UUACCAUGAUGAUUUUCUUCGUUAAACCCAGCUCACUCGGAGUAUUUACAUUGACGAGUACGCGAAGUUUUUAUUUAUCUGAACA
rnacentral:snoRNA from 1 species